rnacentral:rRNA from 1 species
GACGAACGCUGGCGGCGUGCUUUACACAUGCAAGUCGGACGAGUGGCGAACGGGUGAGUAACAUAUCGGAACGUACCGAGUCAUGGGGGAUAACUAAUAGAAAGAUUAGCUAAUACCGCAUAUUAUUCGAGCGGCCGAUAUCGGAUUAGCUGGUCGGUGGGGUAAAGGCCUACCAAGGCAACGAUCAGUAGCGGGUCUGAGAGGAUGAUCGGCAACACUGGAACUGAGACACGGGCCAGACUCCUACGGGAGGCAGCAGUGGGGAAUUUUGGGCAAUGGGCGAAAGCCUGACCCAGCAAUGCCGCGUGACUGAAGAAGGCCUUCGGGUUGUAAAGGACUUUUGUCAGGGAAGCGGUACCUAAAGAGAAAGCACCGGCUAACUACGUGCCAGCAGCCGCGGUAAUAC